GACGAACGCUGGCGGCGUGCUUAACACAUGCAAGUCGAACGGGUCUGCCCUGUUUUUUGCGGGGUGGGUCAGUGGCGAACGGGUGAGUAACACGUGAGUAACCUGCCCCUCACUUCUGGAUAACCGCUUGAAAGGGUGGCUAAUACGGGGUGUUCUGGCUGUGCCGCAUGGUGUGGCUGGGAAAGAUUCACUUUUGUGGUGUUUUGGUGGGGGAUGGGCUCGCGGCCUAUCAGCUUGUUGGUGGGGUGAUGGCCUGCCAAGGCUUUGACGGGUAGCCGGCCUGAGAGGGUGGGCGGUCACACUGGGACUGAGAUACGGCCCAGACUCCUGCGGGAGGCAGCAGUGGGGGGUAUUGCACAAUGGGCGGAAGCCUGAUGCAGCGACGUCGCGUGAGGGAUGGAGGCCUUCGGGUUGUGAACCUCCUUCGCCGGUGAAGAAGGUCCUGCUCUUUGUGGUGGGGUUGACGGUAGCCGGGUUAUGAAGCGCCGGCUAACUACGUG
rnacentral:rRNA from 1 species